UGAAACCCACCCCUGCUUCAGAUAUCACGAAAUAUUUAUUGCUUUGUUCUUGCUUUCUGGAUAUUUUGCACAGCUGGAUGGGGUUUUUCAGGGGUCUUGCUUGGUGAGCCUCUCCAGGAAAGACCAGGAAACGAGGACCAACUGCCAGAAGGGAGUUGCUAGGAGACUCAAAGAAGAAUUCUAGAGUCUUGGUCUUCCAACUGCCAUCCUUUUCCUUCUGGUUGGUGGGAGCUGGCUGCUUUACGCCCUGCUGCAGCCCUUGCGUGGAGGAAGAGUAAAGUUAAGGCAGGGAGAAAGGAGGAGGGAGAAGAGAAGGAGGUACCCCUUGAAGGAGAAUCUGACCAAGAAGGCAAUCAUCCUGGCUUGGACCACAUGUUACGGAGGCAUGGUCAAGAGGCGGUACCUGUGGUGGAGUUUGCUAUGGCAACUUAGGAUGAAGUUGCCCCUGCCUUUCCUGGGCCGCAAAAUGCACCAGAGGAUGGCCCUGGGUUCAAAUGAUGAAGCCGUGAGAAAGAAUGGUGAAGCCGGAGUGUCCCAUCUCCGAAAGCAUCUGUAGUUUCCGUUCAAGGUUCUCAGAGGAGAUGGAUUUUCCAACGUUCAACCGAGGACAUCAAGCUAGAGAUACCAGACAAGUUCCGAUCUAGCCAGCUGCCGGAUGAGCCACGGAGUCUGAUGUCCCCCCCCCUCUGCAUUCAGCCUAGUCAUCGGUCAAUAAACAGCAUGUUUGCUUAUAUUGGAA